GAUGAACGCUGGCGGCGUGCUUAACACAUGCAAGUCGAACGGUGAAGCAGAGCUUGCUCUGUGGAUCAGUGGCGAACGGGUGAGUAACACGUGAGCAACCUGCCCCUGACUCUGGGAUAAGCGCUGGAAACGGCGUCUAAUACUGGAUAUGAGCUGCGACCGCAUGGUCAGCAGUUGGAAAGAUUUUUCGGUCUGGGAUGGGCUCACGGCCUAUCAGCUUGUUGGUGGGGUAAUGGCUCACCAAGGCGUCGACGGGUAGCCGGCCUGAGAGGGUGACCGGCCACACUGGGACUGAGACACGGCCCAGACUCCUACGGGAGGCAGCAGUGGGGAAUAUUGCACAAUGGGCGAAAGCCUGAUGCAGCAACGCCGCGUGAGGGAUGACGGCCUUCGGGUUGUAAACCUCUUUUAGCAGGGAAGAAGCGAAAGCGACGGUACCUGCAGAAAAAGCGCCGGCUAACUACGUG
rnacentral:rRNA from 1 species